GGAGGUUACUGCUAUCGGUGUUCGCCUAACCCAUGCGAGUCAUAUGUUCUUCGUGAACAUGGCGUACUGCUCAGUAACACGUGAAUAACCUGCCCUUGGGACCGGCAUAACCCCGGGAAACUGGGGAUAAUUCCGGAUACCGCAUAUAUGCUGGAAUGCUUUAUGUGUGAAAUGGAUUCGUCUGCCCAAGGAUGGGUCUGCGGCCUAUCAGGUAGUAGUGGGUGUAAUGUACCUACUACCCUACAACGGGUACGGGUUGUGAAAGCAAGAGCCCGGAAAUGGAUUCUGAAACAUGAAUCCAGGCCCUACGGGGCGCAGCAGGCGCGAAAACUUUACAAUGCGGGAAACCGUGAUAAGGGGACACCGAGUGCCAGCAACAUUUGUUGGCUGUCCAGGUGUGUAAACUACACCUGUUAGCAAGGGCCGGGCAAGACCGGUGC
rnacentral:rRNA from 1 species